rnacentral:tRNA from 1 species
GCUAGAGUGGCCGAGUGGUCUAAGGCGUCAGUAAAUUCGUUACUUAAGAUCUGAUGGUUACAACCUCGUGGGUUCGAAAUUUCCCACCUCUAGCA